UUUAUCUGGUCAACACUCCUUCACACACAAAACGAGGCACGUGCAGAAGCCACAGAGGGGCAGCUGUUUGCUCAAGGGAGCCCCAGAAUCCAGACGGAUCCCAUCGGAUCAUAGCUUACAGGUCUCAAAGGACCUCCCCACAGACGAUGCACUGAUUUCAGAAACAAAUAGUGAGUUCACAAUGGAGAACCAGGCAGACAACUGCUUACCCAGGUCACAGUUAUGUCACCACCAUCCGGAUUGUGACGUUCCAGCAUCAGCUGCCUCCUGAUGUGAUGGCACCAGGACAGCAGCGUUUCUGCCAAAACCCAGAAGCCACAUCUAGUCACAAAGCAACAUCAGACAAACAAAUGGAGCGACAUCUUAUAAAGGGGCAGCCUGGCUUUCUUCAAACACAUCCAGCGCGAGGAGGAGGAGAAGGAAAAAUGAAGAGGAAGCAGUAUAUAGUAAGUAAAGAAAAAAUGAAGAAAGUCUUCAUGGGGAAAACCCGGAAAGUCAAAGGUGUGUUUUGAAUAAAGCAAUAGCUCCAGUUCCUGUGAUGGAUGCCUUUGUGUACUGACUUCAUCUCGAGGCCAUCACCAUCGAGAGUGGAACAUGGGGGUCAAAGCCAGCCCCCAGCAUCAUGACACGCUUGCAUAUCCCAAAUGCAUACAUGGACACAUCAGGGGUCUCCAAUAUGCUUUCUUCCUUGGCACCUGGCACCUCUGUGUCCCCCCGGGGACAUUGCUCUGCAAAGAAGUGAAGAAAGUAAGAUUUCUGACAGACAAAAGAUGACAAGUGACUUCCAGUUUCUGCUAGAGCACGCAGAGCUGGAAAGAGUGUCAUCUCAAACCUACACACUGCCCAACAAUAAGUCUGUGUCUUUUCUUGAACUUAUUUGCAUUCUGAAAUUGGAAUGCCACCAACUUGCCCCAAAUCAAAGAAAAGACUGGUGUCUGCAGGGAGAAACAAGACAGGAGGAGAAUGCUGGCUUACUUGGGCCCAGCUCCUGCCCUCCGUCUUCUGGUUAACCAACCUCGUUUCCUGUUGUUAUCUUUAAUGUAAUACACUGUGCAGCUCAGAACGGACUCAGAUACUCAGGAUCAAAUUGUAUGACGAAGGUACAAUUGUUUUCAUUGUCGUUUAUUUGAUUGCUAAUAUGGCUAUUAGUUUUCUUAUUCUAGACAUGGUAGAACAACAUUGUUCCUAGGUAACACUGUCAUCUUCUGGGGAAUAUUACAAUGAAAGUUGACAAGGAUAGCUAAUUUGACUUUAUUUUAACUUUUGGGAAUAUAAACAAUAAUUUGAAGAAGGAAAAACAAAAAAUGAUCCUACGCAGAAUGACUCCUUGUUUCAUGCACACAAGGGCCUGCAGAAAUAUGCCACAGAGCGAUUUCUGGGUCAGAAUAAAUUAGAGUUUGUAAUGCA
rnacentral:lncRNA from 1 species